rnacentral:sRNA from 1 species
UUGUUGCGAGUUGACCCGGGUUUCGGC